AGAGGAGCCGGAGAGGAGGCGUGCGGGUGGGGACUGCGGCGCACUCGAGUCAGCGCACGGGGAUCGCGGCUGUCACUGCGCUCCGAGCAUCCCGGGGCUUCCCGAGUGGACGAGCCCGGCCCUGCGGGAGUUGCGGGUCCAGCCCCAGCCCCCCGCCCCUCUCGCAGCGCUGGUGGAGCCUCACGCCCCGGGCGAGCGUUAGUGAUUUAGCACAAAGCACGUUUCCAAAAAGCCGCGCUCUCGCGCACGCACCUUCUCCCCCCUUUGUUUCGGGGGUCGACCGGCCGCUCUCCUCCCCAAGUCUGAAUUCUUCAGAAGGGGCGGAGGGCCGCCGAGUCUCGGCUGGGAAGAUGCCCUUGGAACUGACUCAGAGCCGGGUGCAGAAGAUCUGGAUCCCGGUCGACCACCGCCCCUCGCUGCCUAGAUCCUGUGGGCCGAAGCUCGCCAACUCGCCCACGGUGAUCGUCAUGGUGGGCCUCCCUGCCCGCGGCAAGACCUACAUCUCCAAGAAGCUGACCCGCUACCUCAACUGGAUCGGCGUCCCCACGAAAGUGUUCAACGUCGGGGAAUACCGGCGGGAGGCCGUCAAGCAGUACAGCUCCUACAAUUUCUUCCGGCCAGACAACGAGGAGGCCAUGAGAGUCCGCAAGCAGUGUGCGCUGGCUGCCCUGAGAGACGUGAAAAGUUACCUCACGAAGGAAGGGGGCCAAAUUGCGGUUUUUGAUGCCACCAACACUACUAGAGAGAGGAGACACAUGAUCCUUCACUUUGCCAAAGAAAAUGAUUUCAAGGUGUUUUUCAUUGAGUCUGUGUGCGAUGACCCUACAGUCGUGGCCUCAAACAUCAUGGAAGUGAAGCUCUCCAGCCCGGAUUACAAAGACUGCAACUCAGCAGAAGCUAUGGACGAUUUCAUGAAGAGAAUUAAUUGCUACGAAGCCAGCUACCAGCCCCUCGACCCUGACAAAUGUGACAGGGACCUGUCCCUGAUCAAGGUGAUCGACGUGGGCCGGCGGUUCCUGGUGAACAGGGUGCAGGACCAUAUCCAGAGCCGCAUCGUGUACUACCUGAUGAACAUCCACGUGCAGCCGCGCACCAUCUACCUGUGCCGGCACGGCGAGAGCGAGCACAACCUCCAGGGCAAGAUCGGAGGGGACUCGGGCCUGUCCAGCAGGGGCAGGAAGUUUGCCAGCGCCCUGAGCAAGUUCGUGGAGGAGCAGAACCUGAAGGACCUCAAGGUGUGGACCAGCCAGCUGAAGAGCACCAUCCAGACGGCCGAGGCCCUGCAGCUGCCCUACGAGCAGUGGAAGGCGCUCAACGAGAUCGACGCGGGCGUCUGUGAGGAGAUGACCUACGAGGAGAUCAGAGACACGUACCCCGAGGAGUACGCGCUGCGGGAGCAGGACAAGUACUACUACCGCUAUCCCACCGGGGAGUCCUACCAGGACCUGGUCCAGCGCUUGGAGCCGGUGAUCAUGGAGCUGGAGCGGCAGGAGAACGUGCUGGUUAUCUGCCACCAGGCUGUGCUGCGCUGCCUCCUGGCCUACUUCCUGGACAAGAGCGCAGAAGAGAUGCCAUACCUGAAGUGCCCCCUUCACGCCGUCCUGAAGCUGACGCCCGUCGCAUAUGGUUGCCGCGUAGAAUCCAUCUACCUGAAUGUGGAGUCGGUGAGCACACACCGGGAGAGGUCAGAGGAUGCAAAGAAGGGACCUAACCCGCUCAUGCGACGCAAUAGUGUCACCCCACUAGCCAGCCCCGAGCCCACCAAAAAGCCUCGCAUCAACAGCUUUGAGGAGCAUGUGGCUUCUACCUCCGCUGCCCUGCCCAACUGCCUACCCCCGGAGGCGCCCACGCAGCUGCCCGGACAACCUUUGCUAGGGAAGGCCUGCUUGUAAGUAUUUCUCGGGACCCUUGUGCUCUGGGUGCCUCUGCCGUCGCCGGCCACUCUGGCUUCUUGGCCGUUGAGUGUUGAGGAUGCUUGACAGUUGCUGUGAAAGCUGGAGGAGGGACCUGGGAUUCUUGAGCUUUCAGGAAAGGAUGCAGGCAGUCGAGGGGGUUUGGGGGGUGUCCUCCUGCCUUGAGGCUGUGCUCCCUUGUCCUCGCUCCCUCGUGGGGCCCAGGGUUACUGUUAGUAUUUGCUGUGGUCAGUGGCUGGACGUCUGGGGGUCAACCUUUUCCCACGUAGGGUCAGAUUUUGGCUCAGGGUUAAGGUCUGUGCCCUUUUAUUUUAAAAGGGAAGUUUGCCCAUAGCGUGGUGGAGGGUCUGAGCCCUCCUGUCCUGGCCGGGACCCCCCUUCAAGGUACUUGGGAACCACUGUCUUGCCUCGGAACCUGCUUGGCCUUCACGGUCAUGUUCAAGGUUGGGCGCGGCUUUUGCUCUGCAGGAAGUUCCUGGUUCAGGGUUAGCAGCUGCCAGAUGACUUGGCCUUGCCUCUGCUCCCUGGUCUCUGGCCGCAGAAGCAGCCAAGGCCUUUAUAUCACAGAGUUUUAGUAACAGCCACUGUGAACUGUCACCCCCAACCCCUUGUCACCCCCCCGCCCCCCACUGUCUGCCCUUUGGCUGGUCGGAUUGCCUGGAUCGAUGCCCGCAGACUCGUGGCAAAUUGGAGUAGUUGGGCAUCGUGCUUGGACCACGUGUCGAAAAAUGCAUUUCGUCACUUGACAGCUCAUGGAGAACGUGCCUAUAUGUGUCCCAAGUCUUUGGUCCUUAGACUAACCCCAGGAGGUCUCAGGGCACUUCCUGUGUCCGUUUCCCAGUUGAAGGCGACUCUCGCCCAUGGUCGCCCAGCUGCUCCAAGGCACAACCAGCCCUUGAGCGGCUCUCCCCGUCCCGAGGGUCAGCUGCUUUCCCUGGGCUGUUUCCAGAACAACCAGGGGCCCGUUCGCCUCCCUGUCCCUGGUACCUGACAUUUGCCGCCUCUGAAAACGUCUGAGUCCCCUUCUCGUUGCCGCAGCCUCCCCUGCAGCUGCUUCCUGUGGCUGCAGUAUGUUUAUUUUAAUGGCCACCUGCCUGUCACGCUCAGUCUUUAAGAGUAGCAGACCCAUGUCUUUUACCCCCACCCCACGCCCCGCAAGCCAGGCGUUUCCUGCGGGACGACCCAGGAUCGAGUUCCCCUUCCGUGCACUAGCCUUUGGGUUUGGAAGCUUCCGGUUCUGCAUCUGUGCGUGUUCCUUUUGAGCCACCGCCCAUGUUGCCAGGAAAGCAAACUUUCUGCCAGGGCCGGUGGGGGGGGCUUGGGCACAUCCCCCACCUUCCAAGGUUGAACCUGCCCAUCUCUAUGGCUGCAAUAGUACCUUUGGCCAGAAUUCCUCCAGGUCUGCAAAAAUGUCUUCUCUGGACCCAUCACACCUGCACUGCACUCUGGACCCAGCGUUGAGGUGUUUUGAUGAUGACAAUAUACACAUAGCACUUGGCAGAACACCUGGCACGUGGUCAGCGUCGAGUGGACGAUAGCAGUUCCCCUGGGAGACAGGGUGCCCUGUGCCUUGGCGGCCACAUCUGGCUCUUGGGUCUAGGCCAAGGGACUGACUGGGGCGUGGGGUGCCCCUGGGCUCUUAGGAUUGCAGCCCAAGCAUGCUGGUGGUCCAGGUCUCGGGUCAAACAGGUGGGAUGGAUGCAGCGCCCGCCUUGCCGGCCACGCCCCAGGGGACUGCACUAGGCUCGGGGCCGGCGGACCAUCUGACACUCACGAGGCCUCCUUGAUUUUUUAGAUUUCCAGUGCAUGCUAAAAAGAGACUACUACUAAAGAUGCUGUCUUCUGUUUUUCUUUCCCAACAUGUUUCUUCCUCCCCUCCCCCACUAUGCUUGAAAGACGAACUGUCUGUCAUAUUUUCUCAAAGUUUUCUCCCUACUAACCUUGGAAAGAACGUGAAAGGCUCCCCCAGCAGCGCGGACGCCUCCAGGACGCACUGACGCAGCCCCGCCGCUGUGCCUUCCACUCCUGCAGCUUUGCUCGAGCCCUUGCGCCUGCCCGAGGCCAGCGAUCCCGAAGACUUCGAUCCCGAAGACUUCUCCCCGGGCAGCGCGGAGGAGGCGCUGCUGCGCCCGCACCCGCCAGGCAGCGUCGGGCACCGCCCGCCCCCGCUGUGCUCCCCGCGCUUCCGGCUGUGUCCCCGCCCCUCGGACGGACGAUGCGCGGCGGAGGCGGAUUGUGGGCGCUUCGGUGCUGGGUGCUGGCUUGUUCAUCUCGUUUCUGUUCGUUCCCCGCUGGGGAGGUGGAAGUGGCCCCCGAGUCCUAACCUUGCAGGGGGCCUAGAUCCCAGCUGCAGAAGGUUGAGGGACGAUGAAAGCUUUCAAGAGGCUUUUGGUGCAUCUCAGCCUGGAGGUUGCCCGGGUUCCGGAAGAAGCUGGUCCCCGAGUUGGAGAGAGGAGCUGGGAGCUGGACCUGCGGUCAGUCGAGCAGCCGGUGUCACCCACCUUUCCAGGUCCGUGUCCUGACGCGGAAGAUGUGGGACAUUCUGGCUGUGGAGGCGGGAGGAAAUGCUUUGCGGAAAUGGCACAGGCCCUCCCUCCCAGGGGAGGCCCCCGCCUGGAUCUCGGUCUCCUGGCACACGGCUCCGCCCCGCACUUUCUUAGGGCAGAGCCCGCCGCCGCCGCAGAGUCACACCUGCUUCCGGAACUUAGAUGAUUGGGUCUGUGCCCUUGGGGCUGGUGCCCUGGAAGGAUGUGGGAGUCGUUGGGGACCUCAGAGAGACCCCCUCCUACAACGCCCAGAGAGCACGUGUUAGAGUCAUUGCAAGGCUGACCCGGCCGGUGGCGUGGGGGCUCGAGGCUCUGGUCUCCUGCUUCAGGGCGUCCCUGCAUCACCUCCCAGUGACAGUGGCUGGAGCCAGGCCUUGCUGACGGCCACUUCCUCCAAGAGACUGUCCUCUGGUCUCUCCAUCUGCGACGGGCACCUGCUGUAUGUCCUGCGUGGGGCUGGGCUCCUUGGAGGACUCUAGAGAAGAGAAUGUGCUUGCUUGCCUUUGUGGCCCCUGUGGCGUUUGGGGAAGAGGGGUUCAAGCAGAGCUUGUGGACUUGUGGUUCUAAACACCUGUAGUUUCUUCCUGCUGGUUUUCCCCUGUUGGCCCAGGAGAAACGAUUUGGACUCAGCAGCAGACGUUGUCCAAGUGACCCUUUUUCAGGAUCUCUAAAAGCGGUGCCAAAGGUCACCUCUUCUUCCUGCCUUCUCCUUUGGGGCCCCACGUCCCUCCGCCUCUUAGCUUGUGAACAGUCCUUGGGGGUGGAGGGGGACGUUUAGACAGCUGGAGCUGGGGGCGGAGAGGAGCCGUUUUUGUUUUUGUUUUGUUUGAAAGGAGCUUUUAGGAAACGCACGUGUCUGUUUGGGAUUCAGGGGGAAACGCGGGUGCGAGGCAUACGUCCUGUAACCAGGCUUCUGGGUUUCCCACCAAACCGCUCAAAUCCCCGCUUCUCUUCAUCCCUUCAUUGGCCAUCUGCCCAGGUGACACCUGUCUGUCCAUCCCUGGGCAAGACUCGGGUCACUCUCCCCCUUUCCCGCUGUCUGGUUAGGCACUGCGUGUGUGUGUGUGUCUAUGUGUGUGUUGGAUGUAUUUUCAGACGGAGGGGCCCGCAGCUCUUGAGGAGAGCUCUUGUCAUAUUCUCGUCAUUUGUCCCACUUUCUGGCUCCUCCUCUGGCCAUUGGCACCGACUCUGAACUUUGGCUCUUGAGGCUGAUCCAAGUGGGGGCCGAAUGAAGGUGGGUUCGCCCUCGCCUCUGAUGGCCCGCAUCCGUGCCCACACGGAGGAGGCCUGGUCUGACCCUGGUUUGGUUGGCAGGGACCUCGAUGGGGAGGGGAGACGCGGAGAGAGCAGAAGGCUGCAGACUGGAGCCAGGACGGGGCUUGGGAGGAGGGCGGUGUAGACCGGCGGGGGGUGUCUGAGCCGCGGUCGGUCGUGGGGCCUCUGCUGUGCUGGCCAUUGACUCUCACUCCCCUGACCCUCGUCAAAUGCUGGGACCGAUGUUACCUUUGCCUGUUUGUUUUGGGCGGGCUCACCGCCUUCCUUCCUCUGUCCUGAGACUGCGCGCCAAGACCUUCCUUUCGGGGGAAAAGAAAGACUGAACCACGCCAAGGACGUUUUCAUUUCUAAUACUUGAAGUUUAUUUUUUUAUUAUUUUGAUAGCAGAUAUGCUAUUUAUUUAUUUAAUAUGUAUAAGGGAUCCUGAAAACGGAAAGCUGUAUAGAUGGGGUUUCGUUGUGGGUUGGCUUGGGGGCCUUUUACAUGUGACUUCCGACUCUGUGUGUUCUGUAUAAAUUUGUCUGAAUUAAUUACCUGGGAUGAAGCUGUGCCAGCUUUCAAACAGGGGAUGCCUAUUGGAAAUUUGUAUAUUUUGCAGUUGCCAGAACAAUAAAAUUCCUGGUUGAAAUACA
ensembl:lncRNA